rnacentral:misc_RNA from 1 species
CAGAGUUCAUGCCCUUCGGGGUAGAUCUCCCACCCUUGUGUAAUAUUAUCGAAUGUUGCUUUGGCGGGCCGCAAGCCUGGCUUGCCCGGAUUCGCGUCCGGCGUGCCCGCCAGAGGACCCCUAAAACUCUGAAUGUUAGUGUCGUCUGAGUACUAUUAAAUAGUUA